rnacentral:lncRNA from 1 species
UGUCACCAGUCUUGUUCAGAUGGAUCAAUUCAUGAUCAAAAACACCAAGUUUAGAUAAUGGUUGGGCAUAUAAAGUACAUUCAUCUCUUAGAAAAGUAAUUGCAAAUCGAAGAGUCAAACUAAGACACAUGCUGCUCUUACACAUAAUUAAUUGAAGCAGUUUGAGCAAAAAAAGUUACAGUUUAUUUGGAGUUCUUGUUAACACUGGUUAAGACUUAAGAGAGAGAAAUUGUCAUAUACUACAC